rnacentral:rRNA from 1 species
AACGAACGCUGGCGGCAUGCCUAACACAUGCAAGUCGAACGAGACCUUCGGGUCUAGUGGCGCACGGGUGCGUAACGCGUGGGAACCUGCCCUUAGGUUCGGAAUAACUCCCCGAAAGGGGUGCUAAUACCGGUUAAUGUCUUCGGACCAAAGAUUUAUCGCCUUUGGAGGGGCCCGCGUUGGUUUAGCUAGUUGUUAGGGUAAAAGCCUACCAAGGCGACGAUCCAUAGCUGGUAUGAGAGGAUGAUCAGCCACACUGGGACUGAGACACGGCCCAGACAACAAGGGGAGGAAGAAGGGGGGAAAAUAGGAAAAGGGGGGAAAGCGUGAUCAAGAAAGGCGGGGGGAGAGAGGAAGGCAUUAGGGUAGAAAAGGUGUUUUACCAGGGAAGAAAAUGACAGGAAGGGGAGAAAAAGCUCCGGCUAACUCCGUG